rnacentral:rRNA from 1 species
CCUGCAAAACGAAUCUAAGUUCCCCCUUAACCCUCUUUUUCCUCCCCAGACAAACCCAACCCAAAUGUGAUAGUUAAGGGCUAUUUAAAGGGGGUACAGCCCCUUUAAAAAAGGACACAACCUCCACCAGCGGAUAACCCCUGUACGCCCAACCCCGUGGGCCUUAAAGCAGCCACCCCCAAAGAUUGCGUCAAAGCUCCAUCAACCAAAAACCCCCAAAACCAAUGUGACUCCCUACACCCACAGCAGGCCAACCUAUAACAAUAGAUGAGUCAAUGCUAGAACGAGUAACCAGGACACUACGUCCCCCUAAGCGCCAGCCUGUAUACCAUUAACAGUAAAACCUCAAUAAUAACCACCCCCACCAUUGAACCCACCCUGUCAACCCAACUCAGGGGCGCACACUGGAGUGAUCAAAAUCUACAAAAGGAACUCGGCAAACCUAAGACCCGACUGUUUACCAAAAACAUAGCCUUCAGCCAAACAAGUAUUGAAGGUGAUGCCUGCCCAGUGACACCAUGUUUAACGGCCGCGGUA